GUGCUUAACACAUGCAAGUCGAACGGAAAGGCCCUGCUUUUGUGGGGUGCUCGAGUGGCGAACGGGUGAGUAACACGUGAGUAACCUGCCCUUGACUUUGGGAUAACUUCAGGAAACUGGGGCUAAUACCGGAUAGGAGCUCCUGCUGCAUGGUGGGGGUUGGAAAGUUUCGGCGGUUGGGGAUGGACUCGCGGCUUAUCAGCUUGUUGGUGGGGUAGUGGCUUACCAAGGCUUUGACGGGUAGCCGGCCUGAGAGGGUGACCGGCCACAUUGGGACUGAGAUACGGCCCAGACUCCUACGGGAGGCAGCAGUGGGGAAUAUUGCACAAUGGGCGGAAGCCUGAUGCAGCAACGCCGCGUGCGGGAUGACGGCCUUCGGGUUGUAAACCGCUUUCGCCUGUGACGAA
rnacentral:rRNA from 1 species